UUAAAUUGAAGAGUUUGAUCAUGGCUCAGAUUGAACGCUGGCGGCAGGCCUAACACAUGCAAGUCGAACGGUAACAGGAAACAGCUUGCUGUUUCGCUGACGAGUGGCGGACGGGUGAGUAAUGUCUGGGAAACUGCCUGAUGGAGGGGGAUAACUACUGGAAA
rnacentral:rRNA from 4 species